UACGAAGGGGGCUAGCGUUGUUCGGAAUCACUGGGCGUAAAGCGCACGUAGGCGGACAGGUAAGUCAGGGGUGAAAGCCCGGAGCUCAACUCCGGAAUAGCCCUUGAUACUGCUUGUCUUGAGACCGGGAGAGGAGAGUGGAAUUCCCAGUGUAGAGGUGAGAUUCGUAGAUAUUGGGAAGAACACCAGUGGCGAAGGCGGCUCUCUGGCCCGGUUCUGACGCUGAGGCGCGAAAGCCAGGGGAGCGAACGGG
rnacentral:rRNA from 1 species